rnacentral:rRNA from 1 species
GAUGAACGCUGGCGGCGUGCCUAAUACAUGCAAGUCGAGCGAAAAGAUGAGGAGCUUGCUCCUCUGACGUUAGCGGCGGACGGGUGCGUAACACGUGGAUAACCUACCUAUAAGACUGGGAUAACUUCGGGAAACCGGAGCUAAUACCGGAUAAUAUAUUGAACCGCAUGGUUCAAUAGUGAAAGACGGUUUUGCUGUCACUUAUAGAUGGAUCCGCGCCGCAUUCGCUAGUUGGUAAGGUAACAGCUUACCAAGGCAACGAUCCGUAGCCGGCCUGAGAGGAGGAGCCGCGACACUGGGACUGAGGCACGGCCCAGACUCCUACGGGAGGCAGCAGUGGGGAAUAUUGGACAAUGGGCGAAAGGAUGAUCCAGUAAUGCCGCGUGAGUGCUGAAGGCCUUAGGGUUGUAAAGCUCUUUUAACCGGGAUGAUAAUGACAGUACCGGGAGAAUAAGCGCCGGCUAACUCCGUG